GAGUAUCAUCAUCCACAAAAUCAUGCAAAGCGUUAUCACACUGUGGUACAAUACACAUUACAUAUCGAACAGCCCUGGUAUUUAUAUUUUAAUCCAUGUUAUAAAAGGAAGUCGGCCAUUAUGAAGAUGCAGAGUACCUCCUUAAUUAACACACCUUCAUAGAUCAUUCAGAUUACCAGGGUUGUUAGGACAAUAUACUCGAUGUUCAUCCGACUAAUAAAACCCUAGUUACAUGGGACAUCAUUUAAAUAAUCAUUAUGUCACAGGGUGGCAAUCACGUAUUUUAAUUAUCAAAUGUUAUAAGCAUUUUAUUCAUUUCAGAUUGUUCAAUACACUUUUAUUCAUUCACCCGUUUACUAAUCCAUUCAUGCAUUGUCGUAUUUGUGUUGUGUUCUCUCGUCUACGGUGAGUCAUGCGACUGUUUUGUGAAUAGUGUUUUGCUGAGUUAAGUAUUUGUAGAGUGAGUGAGUAUUUUAUUAGUGGUUGCAGAACAAGUUUUUAGGGAGUGUUAGUAGUGUACGCAUGUGUGUGAGAUUGUAUAAAAGGAUGAGCACUAACUAAUCUAGAGAUUUACAAGAUGGACUUUAACGCAGUACGUCAGGAUGAAUCUCGCACCGAGAUACCCUAUAGAUAUAUAUUCCUUUACGGGAAAUAAAGAUAUAUAACUGGUCAUCAUAUUUACAAUUGGAGUCAUCAUACAAGUUGGCUUAAAAUAAAAUCAAUUGAAACCUGCA